UCGGGAAUACUGCGCAAUGGAGGAAACUCUGACGCAGUGACGCCGCGUGCAGGAAGAAGGUUUUCGGAUUGUAAACUGCUUUUAGACAGGGAAGAAAAAAGACAGUACCUGUAGAAUAAGCUCCGGCUAACUACGUGCCAGCAGCCGCGGUAAUACGUAGGGAGCAAGCGUUAUCCGGAUUUAUUGGGUGUAAAGGGUGCGUAGACGGAGAAGCAAGUUAGUUGUGAAAUCCCUCGGCUUAACCGAGGAACUGCAACUAAAACUACUUCCCUUGAGUGCUGGAGAGGAAAGUGGAAUUCCUAGUGUAGCGGUGAAAUGCGUAGAUAUUAGGAGGAACACCAGUGGCGAAGGCGACUUUCUGGACAGUAACUGACGUUGAGGCACGAAAGUGUGGGGAGCAAACAGGAUUAGAUACC
rnacentral:rRNA from 1 species